UAAUGACUAGGAAUCUGCCCGAUAGUGGGGGACAACGUUUCGAAAGGAACGCUAAUACCGCAUACGUCCUACGGGAGAAAGUGGGGGCUCUUCGGACCUCACGCUAUCGGAUGAGCCUAGGUCGGAUUAGCUAGUUGGUGGGGUAAAGGCUCACCAAGGCGACGAUCCGUAACUGGUCUGAGAGGAUGAUCAGUCACACUGGAACUGAGACACGGUCCAGACUCCUACGGGAGGCAGCAGUGGGGAAUAUUGGACAAUGGGCGAAAGCCUGAUCCAGCCAUGCCGCGUGUGUGAAGAAGGUCUUCGGAUUGUAAAGCACUUUAAGUUGGGAGGAAGGGCUGUAAGCGAAUACCUUGCAGUUUUGACGUUACCGACAGAAUAAGCACCGGCUAACUUCGUGCCAGCAGCCGCGGUAAUACGAAGGGUGCAAGCGUUAAUCGGAAUUACUGGGCGUAAAGCGCGCGUAGGUGGUUUGGUAAGUUGGAUGUGAAAGCCCCGGGCUCAACCUGGGAACUGCAUCCAAAACUGCCUGACUAGAGUACGGUAGAGGGUGGUGGAAUUUCCUGUGUAGCGGUGAAAUGCGUAGAUAUAGGAAGGAACACCAGUGGCGAAGGCGACCACCUGGACUGAUACUGACACUG
rnacentral:rRNA from 1 species